GGGGGUUCUCAGGUGACGCACCCCAGAAUCAGGCUCCCUCCUCUCUGGUUCCAGGUGAGUCACCCAAGAACUGCA
rfam:Myotis brandtii contig245974, whole genome shotgun sequence.